rnacentral:rRNA from 1 species
AGUGAACGCUGGCGGUAGGCCUAACACAUGCAAGUCGAACGGCAGCACAGGAGAGCUUGCUCUCUAGGUGGCGAGUGGCGGACGGGUGAGGAAUACAUCGGAAUCUGCCCAGUCGUGGGGGAUAACGUAGGGAAACUUACGCUAAUACCGCAUACGACCUUCGGGUGAAAGAGGGGGAUCGCAAGACCUCUCGCGAUUGGAUGAGCCGAUGUCGGAUUAGCUAGUUAGCGGGGUAAUGGCCCACCAAGGCGACGAUCCGUAGCUGGUCUGAGAGGAUGAUCAGCCACACUGGAACUGAGACACGGUCCAGACUCCUACGGGAGGCAGCAGUGGGGAAUAUUGGACAAUGGGCGCAAGCCUGAUCCAGCCAGACCGCGUGGGUGAAGAAGGCCUUCGGGUUGUAAAGCCCUUUUGUUGGGAAAGAAAUCUUUCAGGCUAAGACCCUGGGAGGAUGACGGUACCCAAAGAAUAAGCACCGGCUAACUUCGU